UACAGAGGUCUCAAGCGUUGUUCGGAUUCAUUGGGCGUAAAGGGUGCGUAGGCGGCGCGGUAAGUCGGGUGUGAAAUCUCGGGAGCUUAACUCCGAAACUGCAUUCGAUACUGCCGUGCUUGAGGACUGGAGAGGAGACUGGAAUUUACGGUGUAGCGGUGAAAUGCGUAGAUAUCGUAAGGAAGACCAGUGGCGAAGGCGGGUCUCUGGACAGUUCCUGACGCUGAGGCACGAAGGCCAGGGGAGCAAAACGGG
rnacentral:rRNA from 1 species